CUACGGGGGGCUGCAGUGAGGAAUCUUGCGCAAUGGGGGAAACCCUGACGCAGCAACGCCGCGUGAGUGAAGAAGGCCUUCGGGUCGUAAAGCUCUGUCAAGAGGGAAGAAACAGUUAUGCAUGAAUAAUGUAUAACCUUGACGGUACCUUUAGAGGAAGCACCGGCCAACUCCGUGCCAGCAGCCGCGGUAAGACGGAGGGUGCUAGCGUUGUUCGGAAUUACUGGGCGUAAAGAGCGUGUAGGCGGAUAGAUAAGUCGAGUGUGAAAGUCCCCAGCUUAACUGAGGAAGUGCAUUUGAAACUAGCUUUCUUGAGUACGGAAGAGGGAAGUGGAAUUCCCGGUGUAGGGGUGAAAUCCGUAGAUAUCGGGAGGAAUACCAGUGGCGAAGGCGACUUCCUGGACCGUUACUGACGCUGAGACGCGAAAGCGUGGGGAGCAAACAGGAUUAGAUACCCUUGUAGUC
rnacentral:rRNA from 1 species